CGUUGUUCAAUAUUAAAAAGAAGAAACUGAACAGCGAGGCCAACGUGGGUUCUCCUGGCGUGUCUUGGUGCUGCAGAUGUCCCCUCCCUCAUCUGUCAGCGAUGCGCCCUCCUCGCCUCGCUUGUCCAACGACUGGCGAGGCGCUUU
rnacentral:sRNA from 1 species